rnacentral:miRNA from 1 species
GAAAUUUCUCCAUGAGAUCCAGCUAUAAGGCAUUUUCUCAUUUAGUGAUCAAUGAGGAAGGCCUAGCCCUUGUGGGUGGUGCUAUCCCUGGGCUGGUGGUCAUG